rnacentral:rRNA from 1 species
AAGUAGUAGUACUUAUGUUCUUGAAACUUAAAAAAUUUGGCGGUAUUUUAGUCUAUCCAGAGGAACCUGUUUUGUAAUCGAUAAUCCACGAUGGACCUUACUUAAGUUUGUAAUCAGUUUAUAUACCCGUCGUUAUCAGAAUAUUUUAUAAGAAUAAAAAUAUUCAAUAAUUUAUAUUAAAAUUUAUAUCAGAUCAAGGUGUAGCUUAUACUUAAGUAAUAAUGGGUUACAAUAAAAAUAUUUAAACGAAUAAAAUAAUGAAAAAAUUUUUGAAGGUGGAUUUGGUAGUAAAAUUAUAAAGAUUAAUAAUUUGAUUUUAGCUCUAAAAUAUGUACACAUCGCCCGUCGCUCUUAUUAUUAAGGUAAGAUAAGUCGUAACAUAGUAGAUGUACUGGAAAGUGUAUCUAGAAUGA